GCAGGAUCAUCAACUGAGGCAUUAGGUGUGAAUACCACGGAGAGAGAGAAACACUCUGUGGAUGAACAUUGGCCAGCACUGACCCAGAAAGUGGAGACGAUGGCAUCUGUGAUAGAGCUGCUUUUGGAAACACUGAAAGAUUUGAAAUAUAGGAAGUUCAAGGAGUUCAAAGAGAUCCUGAGGCAAAUUCACUUUCCAUCGUUUAGGAAAUUGGGGGUGCUGGAGACAAUGGGCCUGCAGGACACAGUGUUUUUAUUGGUGCAGACUUUUGGUCAACGGUCUGUGGAGAAGACCAAGGAGGUUUUAAAGAAGAUAAAGAGGACUGACCUGGACCGAAGGUUGUCUGACAGCAGCACAGGAU